UAGGGAAUAUUGCACAAUGGACGCAAGUCUGAUGCAGCAACGCCGCGUGAGUGAAGAAGGCCCUUGGGUCGUAAAGCUCUUUAGCCUGGAAAGAAGUGCCAUCCCGUUAAUAAUAGGGUGGUGUGACGGUACCAGGAGAAUAAGGACCGGCUAAUUUCGUGCCAGCAGCCGCGGUAAUACGAAAGGUCCAAGCGUUACUCGGAAUUACUGGGCGUAAAGCGCGCGUAGGCGGCUUUGUAUGUCGAUUGUGAAAGCCCCGGGCUCAACCUGGGAACUGCAGUCGAAACUGCAAAGCUUGAAUGUUGGAGAGGUUGGGGGAAUACCUAGUGGAGAAGUGAAAUUCGUAGAGAUUAGGUGGAACACCAGAGGCGAAGGCGCCUGACUG
rnacentral:rRNA from 1 species